AUUGAACGCUGGCGGCAGGCCUAACACAUGCAAGUCGAGCGGAAACGAUCCUAGCUUGCUAGGAGGCGUCGAGCGGCGGACGGGUGAGUAACGCGUGAGAAUCUACCCAUGAGUGGGGGACAACCCGGGGAAACUCGGGCUAAUACCGCAUACGCCCUACGGGGUAAAGCAGGGGACCUUCGGGCCUUGCGCUGAUGGAUGAGCUCGCGUCGGAUUAGCUUGUUGGUGAGGUAAAGGCUCACCAAGGCGACGAUCCGUAGCUGGUCUGAGAGGAUGAUCAGCCACACCGGGACUGAGACACGGCCCGGACUCCUACGGGAAGCAGCAGUGGGGAAUCUUGGACAAUGGGGGCAACCCUGAUCCAGCCAUGCCGCGUGUGUGAAGAAGGCCUUCGGGUUGUAAAGCACUUUCAGCAGGGAGGAAGGCUUACCCCUAAUACGGGUGAGUACUUGACGUUACCUGCAGAAGAAGCACCGGCUAAUUUCGUG
rnacentral:rRNA from 1 species